AUCGAUAUAGCUCAAUUGAUAGAGCGUACAGCUGAUGACUGUAAGGGUAAAGGUUAGAAUCCUUUUAUUGAUU
rnacentral:tRNA from 1 species